GUGGUGUGAAACAACAUUUAUUCAUCAUGGAGAAUUCACCGAAUGAUGAAUAUACUUUAAAGCACUUCUAUUACCCACUCAAUAUAUCAGAUGAUCAAGAUAUGAGUGACAAUAACAAGACCGCAAUGAGAAGGAGCAACAGUAUAGAUGCUUUUUUUGAAAAGCAAAAGAAAAAGAAGAGACAGUCAAAGUCUUCAUGUGUAGCGCAAGCAAGUGACGGGGGCCUAUCAUAUAUCUCAUCCAACGACGAUGACAGUAUCAGUGCAACACAUCUAAUCAAAAUAGACAUCUAUGACAUGAAGAGAAUUAAAGAUGUUUCGCCUCUUGAAUACUGGAAAUAUGCAGAUUUGCGAUUAAAGUACUACGUUGAAUCUGCUGGUGAUAAGCACUAUCAAAGCAUGCGAGAUAUUAUAUACAACAUUACAAAGCAAAUCGCUGGGAAGCAUGACUGUAAAAAAUACUUUAUUGACAGAGAUAACCAGAAACAAUAAGUAUUCUCUGAACCAGCGGUCGGUAAACAUCACAAAGUAAAAAGACCCUCUAUACGAACCCAUGAAAACUUAAGUGCUUAUUACCUGUAUUUUAAAAAUAUUUUUCUUUAUCUAUUUGCUAUCCCCACUGCUUCAUGCAAGCGAAACUAAUAUAAAAGCUAUCCUUUUUCUUAAAUGUACUUCAUAUUCUAAGUUACCACACAAAACUGCACAAUGACUGUCGAACUCAACGACUUUGUUUACGAAGAAGAAAUGGUUGAGCUAUGUCAAGCAGCGGAAGUUGAAUUUGACUUAGUGAACCUGUGUAUACAAGUAGAAACCGAUCAAGCUGCUUUAUCAAGACAAAGUGGAGGAGGUGUAAAAAGAAAAAUUGCUGUCACAAAAUAUUCUUCGAGUAAGCGUCCAUUUUCUCAAGAGCCUUCAACAUCUGCUGCGGU